rnacentral:rRNA from 1 species
GACGAACGCUGGCGGCGUGCUUAACACAUGCAAGUCGAACGAUGAAGCCUAGCUUGCUAGGUGGAUUAGUGGCGAACGGGUGAGUAAUACGUGAGUAACCUACCUUUAACUCUGGGAUAAGCCUGGGAAACUGGGUCUAAUACCGGAUACGACCAAUCUCCGCAUGGGGUGUUGGUGGAAAGCGUUAUGUAGUGGUUAUAGAUGGGCUCACGGCCUAUCAGCUUGUUGGUGAGGUAACGGCUCACCAAGGCGACGGCGGGUAGCCGGCCUGAGAGGGUGACCGGCCACACUGGGACUGAGACACGGCCCAGACUCCUACGGGAGGCAGCAGUGGGGAAUAUUGCACAAUGGGCGCAAGCCUGAUACAGCGACGCCGCGUGAGGGAUGACGGCCUUCGGGUUGUAAACCUCUGUUAGCAGGGAAGAAGAGAAAUUGACGGUACCUGCAGAGAAAGCGCCGGCUAACUACGUG